AACGAACGCUGGCGGCAGGCCUAACACACGCAAGUCGAGCGAGGACUUCGGUCCUAGCGGCGGACGGGUGAGUAACGCGUGGGAACGUGCCCCUUGGUACGGAAUAGCCCCGGGAAACUGGGAGUAAUACCGUAUGAGCUCUACGGAGGAAGGAUUUAUCGCCAAGGGAUCGGCCCGCGUUGGAUUAGGUAGUUGGUGGGGUAAUGGCCUACCAAGCCGACGAUCCAUAGCUGGUUUGAGAGGAUGAUCAGCCACACUGGGACUGAGACACGGCCCAGACUCCUACGGGAGGCAGCAGUGGGGAAUCUUAGACAAUGGGCGCAAGCCUGAUCUAGCCAUGCCGCGUGAGCGAUGAAGGCCUUAGGGUUGUAAAGCUCUUUCAGCUGGGAAGAUAAUGACUGUACCAGCAGAAGAAGCCCCGGCUAACUCCGUGCCAGCAGCCGCGGUAACAC
rnacentral:rRNA from 1 species